rnacentral:lncRNA from 1 species
AUUAGAUACGGUGUCAGAGGUGAAUGCAUGCUUACUCAGGUUUAGAUCAGCUAACAGAAACAAUAGGAAUGUGUUCCAGUAACAGGCUAUAUACUGACUUACAGAAAACUAUUGUAUGAUUAAGAAAACAAAAAAGAAGGCAACCUGGAAAAGAGGAGGAAGUGACUUUGAAAGUUACCCAAGAUGCAGCACUACGGAUGCAUAUAGGCACCCUGAACAUCCAAGUCCAGAUUGGCUUUUGACUUCUGUUGUUUGGUUAAGGUGUGGAGAGGCUUCAGGACAUAACAGAGAUCCAGGAAAUUAG